UUAAGCGACUAAGCGUACACGGUGGAUGCCCUGGCAAUCAGAGGCGAUGAAGGACGUGCUAAUCUGCGAUAAGCGUCGGUAAGGUGAUAUGAACCGUUAUAACCGGCGAUUUCCGAAUGGGGAAACCCAGUGUGAUUCGUCACACUAUCAUUAACUGAAUCCAUAGGUUAAUGAGGCGAACCGGGGGAACUGAAACAUCUAAGUACCCCGAGGAAAAGAAAUCAACCGAGAUUCCCCAGUAGCGGCGAGCGAACGGGGAGCAGCCCAGAGCCUGAAUCAGUGUGUGUGUUAGUGGAAGCGUCUGGAAAGGCGCGCGAUACAGGGUGACAGCCCCGUACACAAAAAUGCACAUGCUGUGAGCUCGAUGAGUAGGGCGGGACACGUGGUAUCCUGUCUGAAUAUGGGGGGACCAUCCUCCAAGGCUAAAUACUCCUGAUUGACCGAUAGUGAACCAGUACCGUGAGGGAAAGGCGAAAAGAACCCCGGCGAGGGGAGUGAAAAAGAACCUGAAACCGUGUACGUACAAGCAGUGGGAGCCUCUUUAUGGGGUGACUGCGUACCUUUUGUAUAAUGGGUCAGCGACUUAUAUUCUGUAGCAAGGUUAACCGAAUAGGGGAGCCGAAGGGAAACCGAGUCUUAACUGGGCGUUAAGUUGCAGGGUAUAGACCCGAAACCCGGUGAUCUAGCCAUGGGCAGGUUGAAGGUUGGGUAACACUAACUGGAGGACCGAACCGACUAAUGUUGAAAAAUUAGCGGAUGACUUGUGGCUGGGGGUGAAAGGCCAAUCAAACCGGGAGAUAGCUGGUUCUCCCCGAAAGCUAUUUAGGUAGCGCCUCGUGAAUUCAUCUCCGGGGGUAGAGCACUGUUUCGGCAAGGGGGUCAUCCCGACUUACCAACCCGAUGCAAACUGCGAAUACCGGAGAAUGUUAUCACGGGAGACACACGGCGGGUGCUAACGUCCGUCGUGAAGAGGGAAACAACCCAGACCGCCAGCUAAGGUCCCAAAGUCAUGGUUAAGUGGGAAACGAUGUGGGAAGGCCCAGACAGCCAGGAUGUUGGCUUAGAAGCAGCCAUCAUUUAAAGAAAGCGUAAUAGCUCACUGGUCGAGUCGGCCUGCGCGGAAGAUGUAACGGGGCUAAACCAUGCACCGAAGCUGCGGCAGCGACGCUUAUGCGUUGUUGGGUAGGGGAGCGUUCUGUAAGCCUGUGAAGGUGUGCUGUGAGGCAUGCUGGAGGUAUCAGAAGUGCGAAUGCUGACAUAAGUAACGAUAAAGCGGGUGAAAAGCCCGCUCGCCGGAAGACCAAGGGUUCCUGUCCAACGUUAAUCGGGGCAGGGUGAGUCGACCCCUAAGGCGAGGCCGAAAGGCGUAGUCGAUGGGAAACAGGUUAAUAUUCCUGUACUUGGUGUUACUGCGAAGGGGGACGGAGAAGGCUAUGUUGGCCGGGCGACGGUUGUCCCGGUUUAAGCGUGUAGGCUGAUUUUCCAGGCAAAUCCGGAAAAUCAAGGCUGAGGCGUGAUGACGAGGCACUACGGUGCUGAAGCAACAAAUGCCCUGCUUCCAGGAAAAGCCUCUAAGCAUCAGGUAACAUCAAAUCGUACCCCAAACCGACACAGGUGGUCAGGUAGAGAAUACCAAGGCGCUUGAGAGAACUCGGGUGAAGGAACUAGGCAAAAUGGUGCCGUAACUUCGGGAGAAGGCACGCUGAUAUGUAGGUGAAGUCCCUCGCGGAUGGAGCUGAAAUCAGUCGAAGAUACCAGCUGGCUGCAACUGUUUAUUAAAAACACAGCACUGUGCAAACACGAAAGUAGACGUAUACGGUGUGACGCCUGCCCGGUGCCGGAAGGUUAAUUGAUGGGGUCAGCGCAAGCGAAGCUCUUGAUCGAAGCCCCGGUAAACGGCGGCCGUAACUAUAACGGUCCUAAGGUAGCGAAAUUCCUUGUCGGGUAAGUUCCGACCUGCACGAAUGGCGUAAUGAUGGCCAGGCUGUCUCCACCCGAGACUCAGUGAAAUUGAACUCGCUGUGAAGAUGCAGUGUACCCGCGGCAAGACGGAAAGACCCCGUGAACCUUUACUAUAGCUUGACACUGAACAUUGAGCCUUGAUGUGUAGGAUAGGUGGGAGGCUUAGAAGUGUGGACGCCAGUCUGCAUGGAGCCGGCCUUGAAAUACCACCCUUUAAUGUUUGAUGUUCUAACGUGGACCCGUAAUCCGGGUUGCGGACAGUGUCUGGUGGGUAGUUUGACUGGGGCGGUCUCCUCCUAAAGAGUAACGGAGGAGCACGAAGGUUGGCUAAUCCUGGUCGGACAUCAGGAGGUUAGUGCAAUGGCAUAAGCCAGCUUGACUGCGAGCGUGACGGCGCGAGCAGGUGCGAAAGCAGGUCAUAGUGAUCCGGUGGUUCUGAAUGGAAGGGCCAUCGCUCAACGGAUAAAAGGUACUCCGGGGAUAACAGGCUGAUACCGCCCAAGAGUUCAUAUCGACGGCGGUGUUUGGCACCUCGAUGUCGGCUCAUCACAUCCUGGGGCUGAAGUAGGUCCCAAGGGUAUGGCUGUUCGCCAUUUAAAGUGGUACGCGAGCUGGGUUUAGAACGUCGUGAGACAGUUCGGUCCCUAUCUGCCGUGGGCGCUGGAGAACUGAGGGGGGCUGCUCCUAGUACGAGAGGACCGGAGUGGACGCAUCACUGGUGUUCGGGUUGUCAUGCCAAUGGCACUGCCCGGUAGCUAAAUGCGGAAGAGAUAAGUGCUGAAAGCAUCUAAGCACGAAACUUGCCCCGAGAUGAGUUCUCCCUGACUCCUUGAGAGUCCUGAAGGAACGUUGAAGACGAUGACGUUGAUAGGCCGGGUGUGUAAGCGCAGCGAUGCGUUGAGCUAACCGGUACUAAUGAACCGUGAGGCUUAACCUU
rnacentral:rRNA from 1 species